CCAAACGGAGGAAAAGAAACCAACAGGGAUUGCCUCAGUAACGGCGAGUGAAGCGGCAAAAGCUCAAAUUUGAAAUCUAGCACCUUCGGUGUUCGAGUUGUAAUUUGAAGAUGGUAACCUUGGGUUUGGCUCUUGUCUAUGUUCCUUGGAACAGGACGUCAUAGAGGGUGAGAAUCCCGUCUGAUGAGAUGCCCAUUCCUAUGUAAGGUGCUAUCGAAGAGUCGAGUUGUUUGGGAAUGCAGCUCUAAGUGGGUGGUAAAUUCCAUCUAAAGCUAAAUAUUGGCGAGAGACCGAUAGCGAACAAGUACAGUGAUGGAAAGAUGAAAAGAACUUUGAAAAGAGAGUGAAAAAGUACGUGAAAUUGUUGAAAGGGAAGGGCAUUAGAUCAGACUUGGUGUUUUACGAUUAUCUUCUCUUCUUGAGUUGUGCACUCGUAUUUCACUGGGCCAGCAUCGAUUCGGAUGGCAAGAUAAUGGCAGUUGAAUGUGGCUUCACUUCGGUGGAGUGUUAUAGCUUCUGCUGAUAUUGCCUGUCUGGAUCGAGGGCUGCGUCUUUGACUAGGAUGCUGGCGUAAUUCGAGCCUG
rnacentral:rRNA from 1 species